UGAGUACUCCCUCCGUCCGGAAAUACUUGUCAUUGAACUGGGUGUAUCUAGGUAUUUUUUAGUUCUAGAUACAUCCAUUUUAAUGACAAGUAAUUCCGGACGGAGGGAGUAUAUA
rfam:Triticum aestivum genome assembly, contig: Triticum_aestivum_CS42_TGACv1_scaffold_604123_7DL